CCUACGGGGUGCAGCAGUGGGGAAUAUUGGACAAUGGGCGAAAGCCUGAUCCAGCCAUGCCGCGUGUGUGAAGAAGGCCUUCGGGUUGUAAAGCACUUUCAGUGGGGAAGAAAGCCUUGGGGCUAAUACCCUAGGAAGGACAUCACCCACAGAAGAAGCACCGGCUAACUCCGUGCCAGCAGCCGCGGUAAUACGGAGGGUGCGAGCGUUAAUCGGAAUUACUGGGCGUAAAGCGCGCGUAGGCGGUCUGAUAAGCCGGUUGUGAAAGCCCCGGGCUCAACCUGGGAACGGCAUCCGGAACUGUCAGGCUAGAGUGCAGGAGAGGAAGGUAGAAUUCCCGGUGUAGCGGUGAAAUGCGUAGAGAUCGGGAGGAAUACCAGUGGCGAAGGCGGCCUUCUGGACUGACACUGACGCUGAGGUGCGAAAGCGUGGGUAGCAAACAGGAUUAGAUACCCCAGUAGUC
rnacentral:rRNA from 1 species